rnacentral:lncRNA from 1 species
CAGCAUUUCUAAGGCAAGAUUUUUGCUCCCAACUCUUAUCCUAAACCUCUAUACCAAAGUAAUGCACAGAAAAGAACAAAAAACCACAAGGACAACCACAGCAACCCGAGACACCACAACCACAGCCACCACCACAACACAAACCCCAACAACACAAUAGAUAAAAUCUCUCUGAUAAAAGUAAGUCUUCCC